CACAUCAUCUUUUGCAGUGUCCAUCAUACCACGACAUUUACGACGAUUCAUCUUCGACAGCUUGUGUUCUUCAAAUCUAUCACCAUUACCCCAGAAG
rnacentral:sRNA from 1 species